rnacentral:rRNA from 1 species
AUACGGAGGAUGCGAGCGUUAUCCGGAUUUAUUGGGUUUAAAGGGAGCGUAGAUGGAUGUUUAAGUCAGUUGUGAAAGUUUGCGGCUCAACCGUAAAAUUGCAGUUGAUACUGGAUAUCUUGAGUGCAGUUGAGGCAGGCGGAAUUCGGGGGGUAGCGGUGAAAUGCUUAGAUAUCACGAAGAACUCCGAUUGCGAAGGCAGCCUGCUAAGCUGCAACUGACAUUGAGGCUCGAAAGUGUGGGUAUCAAACAGGAUUAGAUACCCUGGUAGUCCACACGGUAAACGAUGAAUACUCGCUGUUUGCGAUAUACGGCAAGCGGCCAAGCGAAAGCGUUAAGUAUUCCACCUGGGGAGUACGCCGGCAACGGUGAAACUCAAAUGAAUUGACGGGG